AAGAAAGGCAGCGCGCGCCAUUGUUAUGAAUGUGGAUAGAGGGUGCCCAAAGAAGGUGUUGGCAGCCAAGAGAGCUGAGCUGUAAAAGGGGACAUCUUGAAGAGAAGUGGCUACAGAGCUAGAACCAACGAUAGUAAAUGCUGACGGAGAGGAAAGCUGGACAAGCGGUCUUUUUGUGAUUAAUACCUAAGGGACGAAGUGAAUGAAAUGAGGAAGCAAAAAUGCAGUAGACCCCUGAUAUCCCCAGCAACUGCUGCAGAAGGAGGUGUUCUGCCACGGGCAAGUAAGAUAGAAAGGGAAGGAUACAAUACUUACACUUUCAGACGAAUUGCCACGGCUGAAGUUGAAGAGACCAGAAAAACGUAAGCAAGCUGAGGUGCGAAAACCACGUGGAACCAGCCAAGAGCCGUCUCCAUCUCCCGCAAACAAAAGCCCGUCCUUCCUGACUAGGAAGGCUCACUGUUAGUAGCGAUCGAAAUAAUAGAUCACAGACGUAUAACGAAGGUCUGUCCGCCUUACAGCAAGUAUGCUACGUACGUGUGUUUCUGUGCGUGUGACUUCACAUGUUUGUGAAAGAUCCUAGUUUAAAAGCUAUGAGACUGCAAAUUAUUAUCUUAGGGGAAUGAUACUGAAGUAGCCAAGGUUUCUGAAGAAGAGAGGGAGAAAGAGAGAGAGGGAGAAAGUGCACGAACUGUAAAAUUAAGAGAUGGUUUUCAGAGAUGGUUUUACCUGCCGCCUCGGGGGCUGCAGCGGGAGCUGACCCUUCCCCAACGGACGGACGGACGGUCGGACAGACGGACGCUGGCGUGGCGAUGACUCUUCAGGUGUCACGGGAUAAGGGGAAGCGUGCCGGCACCGAGCUCCAUGGCAGGCUCGCUCCCAGGUGGUGUUUCUGCCCAGUAAAACAAUAAACAGCCGCUUUAUUCUU